rnacentral:hammerhead_ribozyme from 1 species
ACCCAGCUGACGAGUCCUGAAUAAAACGAAACGCUAGUCUUGGAU